GCGCCUGUAGCUCAUAUGGAUAGAGCAGCAGUUUCCUAAACUGCUUGUGGCAAGUUCGAUCCUUGCCAGGCGCA
rnacentral:tRNA from 1 species